AUAAAUAUUCUGGAAGCACAAAAAAUAAAUUUUAUUCCAACAAAUUCACCUGUGCUAUAAAUUAUUGAUAUAUUGGUUACCGCGGCAUACUCGCUUCCGUAUGGCGCUCCACUCCAGGUGGAUGAAUACGCACGUAGCGAGCACUUAAGUACGAUUGUCAUAUGAAAUUCCUACAAUAUAUGCAUACAUAUACAUACAUACAUA